UACGGGGGGGGUAAGCGUUGUUCGGAAUUACUGGGCGUAAAGGGCGCGUAGGCGGCCCGCUAAGUCGAACGUGAAAUCCCCAGGCUCAACCUGGGAACUGCGUCCGAUACUGGCAGGCUUGAAUCCGGGAGAGGGAUGCGGAAUUCCAGGUGUAGCGGUGAAAUGCGUAGAUAUCUGGAGGAACACCGGUGGCGAAGGCGGCAUCCUGGACCGGCAUUGACGCUGAGGCGCGAAAGCGUGGGGAGCAAACAGGG
rnacentral:rRNA from 1 species